GAUGAACGCUGGCGGCGUGCCUAAUACAUGCAAGUCGAGCGAACAGACGAGGAGCUUGCUCCUCUGACGUUAGCGGCGGACGGGUGAGUAACACGUGGAUAACCUACCUAUAAGACUGGGAUAACUUCGGGAAACCGGAGCUAAUACCGGAUAAUAUAUUUAACCGCAUGGUUCAAUAGUGAAAGACGGUUUUGCUGUCACUUAUAGAUGGAUCCGCGCCGCAUUAGCUAGUUGGUAAGGUAACGGCUUACCAAGGCAACGAUGCGUAGCCGACCUGAGAGGGUGAUCGGCCACACUGGAACUGAGACACGGUCCAGACUCCUAAGGGAGGCAGCAGUAGGGAAUCUUCCGCAAUGGGCGAAAGCCUGACGGAGCAACGCCGCGUGAGUGAUGAAGGUCUUCGGAUCGUAAAACUCUGUUAUUAGGGAAGAACAAAUGUGUAAGUAACUAUGCACGUCUUGACGGUACCUAAUCAGAAAGCCACGGCUAACUACGUG
rnacentral:rRNA from 1 species